rnacentral:rRNA from 1 species
GCCGUAAACGAUGUCGACUUGGAGGUUGUGCCCUUGAGGCGUGGCUUCCGGAGCUAACGCGUUAAGUCGACCGCCUGGGGAGUACGGCCGCAAGGUUAAAACUCAAAUGAAUUGACGGGGGCCCGCACAAGCGGUGGAGCAUGUGGUUUAAUUCGAUGCAACGCGAAGAACCUUACCUGGUCUUGACAUCCACGGAAGUUUUCAGAGAUGAGAAUGUGCCUUCGGGAACCGUGAGACAGGUGCUGCAUGGCUGUCGUCAGCUCGUGUUGUGAAAUGUUGGGUUAAGUCCCGCAACGAGCGCAACCCUUAUCCUUUGUUGCCAGCGGUCCGGCCGGGAACUCAAAGGAGACUGCCAGUGAUAAACUGGAGGAAGGUGGGGAUGACGUCAAGUCAUCAUGGCCCUUACGACCAGGGCUACACACGUGCUACAAUG